UGUGGGCCGACACUGAGAGUUUUUACAGUCCCCUGGUGUGUGUGUAACAUGCUGGGACCACCCCAUCGUACCUGACCCGGCUGCCCAAAAGACGGAAGGGAAAAAGCACAUGCAAAGGGGUCGUUUUCCUACCGUAACACGCUCUGCUCUCUCCCAUCCCUCAGGGAAUGACCAUGUGCAUCUACCUGUGCAAACUUGAAUGAUCUUUAUGCUGUUGCAUUCAUUACCUCUUCAGUGGUGAGCAGGAGGUGGACGGAGGAUGAAUUUAAACUGGAAGAUAUGAAGGUUUAUGGAAGUAGACAACUCCCGUGACCCCUCCAUUCCUCAUCCCCUUGUGCUUUGUGCUCAUCUGUGCAUAGAAAAAUCCACGAGCAAACCACAGAAAGUACACAUUUAUUGUGAAGCUGGGACGUCUCUUGACCCGUGUGAACAGAUUAUGAGCAAUUUUUCCUUUCUGUGCUGGCUUCUUUGCCUCUUGGUGCAGAAGUUGUCCUGAAAGCACACCAGAAACCUCAGUCAUAGAUCUGAUGGGUAUAGGAGGGUGAAUGAAGUCCACUCUCUGACUCCUGCCUCUGUCCACGUGCACAGGCUGCUGCAUGUACUGUACUGCCAAUACAAGGCGUGUACCUGGUUCCAGGUUUGUCCUUAUCAAUUAUUGUAAUACUUAUUCUGGGAUCACGUUUUGGACACUGAGUGUUUAUAAAAAAAUUAAAUUAAAUAUAGUGAUGGUGCUGCUAAAAAUAGUUUUUACUCUUUCCUGUUGUUUAUUGCAGAAACCUUUCCCUCCCUGAUUAUGGGGCUACUCCUGUGUUGUGUUUGUCCGAAUAUGAGCAUAGGUGACUCGGUGCAUUUUUGCAUUCCUUUCUCAAGAUAGGCUGAAUUUUUUUCAUUUUCUGAUCAGAAAUUGGGUUCUCCAUAUUGGGGGGGGGAACAACUGACUCCUAUUUCUGUGCCCAACAGUCUGUGCUUCACUGCCCUUACCCUCCUCCAUGCACAGGCCUCUCUGAGCAUCUGCAGAGCUCUGAGAGAACCUCAGACCUAAAGGAAGGCUAUGAAUGUACCAUAACAGGAACGUGCCUCCCUCUUCUCAUACAGUGCAGAACCAAUAUAUAUUUAUUAAUGCUCUCUCUGUUUCUAAAUUUUGUAAAUUUUACUUUCCUGGUACGUAGCUUUUACACUGAGUGUAAAAGUCACCACACUGAAUUUCGGCCAGUGUUAUAUGAUUAUUUUAUCUCUCACUAUAAAGAGUUUUGAAAGACUUUGUAUGAGAGGCAAUAUAAAAAUAAAUUGAAUUGAACUAUGGCUUCACCUUCCCACUCUUUUAGUGCAGAAACCUUUAGAGCAAAAACUGCAAUAUAAGGACAAAGGAGGAGAUUAAGGCUGUGUCAUGAAAGAGGUGACGCUGGGUGACAGGUCCGACCCUGCGUGAGCAGUUUGGUGGGUAUGCAGUCAGCUGUGUGUUAAUUAGAUUUUAAGCGUGUUCACAACUGGGGAAAAGCCUGUUUGUAUUUUUAGUGGGAAGGUUGUUUUAAGCCAUGAGAAAGGUAUUAGGUAUUAUCUACUAUGGUGCAUUUAUAUAAACAAAGGUCUACCUGAUGGUUGUGCAAACAUCUGUUCUGUUCUCACACAACGGUGCACGGUUCAUUAAAACUUACCCUGCUGGCCUCUGAAAGGCCGCUUCUGGAAGCACAUAAUCUAACUUACAGAUCCACAAUUGCAAUAAUUUGAGUUUUAGAAGAAAAAUAUUCUUAGCUUGGGGUAAUGAGUUGGUUUUUUUUAUUUUGUUUGUUUGUUUGUUUAGUGUCUGUGGGUCCCCCAGUAAAAAUAUAAUUUUACAUUUUACAAUGUAGGCUCAAUAAAUUACAUUAAUAAAUGACUCCUGGUUCAUGAGAAGUGCUGUAUUUUGACAAUAUCAGCCAACCUUUCCAUUUGUUUAAGCAGGAAAAGUGGGGAGCCAAAAUAAAGUUGUUACAGAAGAAAUCUCAAGAAUGUUUAUGAAACUCUGCUCUAGCUACAUUUAUUAGGAGUCAAAGCAGAGUCUUAAUUUGUCAUGCAGAAUUCCAGAGGAGUGAGUAAUUUCUGGAGCUUCUCUAAAUGCCAGGACUUAAUAAUUUUUUUGCGGCAAUUUGUUUGUAAACAUGGAGUAAAUUCUAUAGGUUGCAAUGUGACAAAAAGGUAUCUAGGAUUUGUCAUCUGCUAACAGCUGUUGGGUUUAUUUUAUAGCAUCUCAUGGGGUUUUUUGGAUAAAUGUGCUGUUGAUGGCAAGAAGAAGCACCCUGAGGAUCUCUGAUGGUGGGCAUGCACAAAGUUUAACUGCAAUAAGCUGUUUGUCAAGGAUUUGGUCUCCGAGGGAUCAGCUUCCCUGGGUUGUUGCAAUUCCCACCAGGGUGUCCAUGUGUCACCUUCGGAGGAAACCACACUGAACAGGAGGCAAACUCCAGGCAAGCUGGUAAUCUCCCUUCUGGCAGGGAUGCUUCCAGCAUCAUUUUUAUGAUGCGAAGAAUGCAAUCACAGCUUCCCAAGGAAGAUUUUUAAGAGAAUGGAGUUCAUGAAUUUUACUUUCCAGUUUCCCUGGUGUUGCAGGAACCCAGAAUAUUUGUUUUGUCACUCCCAUCUCUCUUUCUCAUCUUGUCACACACUGUAGUUGUGGGUUUUGGUCUUUUAUUUAGUAGUCUGAGGUUACAUGAGUUAGUGGUGGACCUGGCAGUACUGGGUUAAUGGUUGUGCUCAGUGGUCUUAGAGUUCUUUUCCAACCUUAAUGAUUCUAGAGAGCAGUGGAGCAGCAGGGAUGGAUGUGAAGAAGAGAGCAGCUGUUGCUGAGGACCUGAAAUAUACUGCAUUUAUUUUUUGAGGUUAUUCUUAGAUUGAGACUGGUGUGGUCCCAUGGACUCCC